rnacentral:sRNA from 1 species
CUCCCUCUCCGUCCUUGUUCAAGCCCCUGCCCCCAAUCCCCGAGCCCGCAGAAGGUGUGGGUUGGGUGGCAUUGGGUGAAGUCAGAAUAAACACUUUCAGAAAGCCCCUAGCUUCACGUCUUAGGAGUCUCCCAACGUUCUGGACUAGGGUUUUAUGACCCCAGCUUCUCUAUUUUCUAGAACUCCUGAGCUGAGAAAACCGGAGGGAGGAAGCCCUUGUCUAGAACCGUUUCAUGCGUCAAUUAUAACACGUCAGAGCCUGGGCCCUCCUUCUGGGGAAAGAUUAACAAAGCCUUAGUUCCCUUGCUCCUGGAUUAACCAGUGGUUAGUGGAGAUGCGAGAAAAGACGCUAAUGCUGGCAAGGCAAUAACAUGGACUUCCUCGCCUUAUUCCUCUUUUCAUCAGAGAUGGCAAAACCAGCAGCUCCUUCUGCCUCGAGUUGCUUACUGAACUGAAAGGAAAGGAGUGUACACAAAGAAGCCAUAGGAACAAAAGCCAGCUGGUGGUGCGCAGGUGCAGACCAGAGAAUACCAAAGGGUGCCAUGUCUUGCCUAUAAUGUGUUUGGAAUUCUUUGAGGCAAUGAAUGAAGCAAAAGAUGAUGAGAAGCAGAAUGAUGAGGUCUGGAAGACUACACUGCUCCACCAGCAAGGGUGGUGGGAAGGAAGGGGCUACAGCGACUGAGAAGGUGUUCAAUCCUGGAGAGUGGGUCCCACACUAAGUGGCUGAACGUCUGGACACCUGGAAGACACUGGGAUGACAGCUGUCGUCCACAAGAGAGAGGACGAGGCAUCACCCAGAAAGGGAGGAGAGAGUCACCUAAAGUAGGAAGCCCAAGACUGGCAUUGGUCCAGGUGGCUACACCCUACCAGAAGCUAGCCAUAUGGAAGUCAGGAGAGAUGUGCCAGCCAUAAAACCUGGUAUUCGGUGCUACUCAGAAAGCCAAAGCAGGAGAAUCACCUGAGUCCAGUAGUUCAACAUGUCGACCCUGAUUCUUAAGAAUUAAUUAGUUAAUUCAAGGAAGAAAAAAAACGCAGAGCCUCUGGGGGCCUUUAUGUUUGAAGAACACCUGGGUGUGGGCUGGGGAGGUAGCUUGGUCAGUAAAGUGCUCCAUGUGCCUCCACCCCCUUAUGCACACAACAAAGCAAAAGGAAACAAAGUAGCCGGUGAAGGGGGCUAAACCAGAGGAUAUGGCAGAACUGGGCCUCCGCACUGUGCCAGGCAAUGUGCUAAGAUCCUUCCUUAGUUCACUGGCGGUCAAUUCCUCCUCCUGCCUGGUCAAUUUACACUGUGGAGGUUAGGGAUUGAAAGUCUUCAGGCCUAAAGGCAAUUGCCCUCACCUGCUGGCCUCUCUUCUGCCCUACAGAUAAGGAAACUGGCCUGACAGUGUAGAGUAGCAUUCCCAGAGCCAGUUAGGACUGGCUUAGAGAUACUUUGUUUGCUUACUUUUUUUUUUCUUAGACAAGAUCUCUCUAUGUAGUUCUGACUGUCCUGAAACUCACUAUG